AUGGCAGACUCAGGAAACAAGGAACCCGCAAAGUCAAGCCAGGUGGCUGUAGUGGGAGUCAUAGAUUAAGCGUCGCACUGAGUGGAGACUGACAGCACAGCAGAGUGGUCAGACAGCAGAGUGCCCUAGGCUGCGCAAAGAAUGACUGACGCUUAAAAGUGACUAAGGACUUUAUUGAGAGCCUGCCUAGCUUGGUGAAAUGCCAAGUCCUUGCCCUCAAAAAGCUGUAGAAGAAUCCCAUGAAAUUGAAGCCAAAUGUGAUGAGACAUUUCAGCCUCUAGAAAAAAAAAAAAAAAAAGUAUGACACCUAUAAGCCUUUACUUGCCAAGAUACGUGAACUCAGUGGCGAAAUAGAGGGGAUAUGCAUGAACCAUAGAGGCUCAGGGCCCUGAGGACCAAGAGGUACCGGGGGAGAAGGAGGGGCAGGAAGAAGGGGAUGAGGAAAAAGUGGAAGUGGAGUGACACGGUGAGAAUUUCCCACUCUGAGAUGUCUGAUGACACCAAAAAAUAA
rnacentral:lncRNA from 1 species